rnacentral:rRNA from 1 species
CAGUAGCCGCGGGAACACAGAGGGUGCGAGCGUUAAUCGGAUUUACUGGGCGUAAAGCGUGCGUAGGCGGCUUCUUAAGUCGGAUGUGAAAUCCCUGAGCUUAACUUAGGAAUUGCAUUCGAUACUGGGAAGCUAGAGUAUGGGAGAGGAUGGUAGAAUUCCAGGUGUAGCGGUGAAAUGCGUAGAGAUCUGGAGGAAUACCGAUGGCGAAGGCAGCCAUCUGGCCUAAUACUGACGCUGAGGUACGAAAGCAUGGGGAGCAAACAGGAUUAGAUACCCGUGUAGUCCCUGUCUCUUAUAA